rnacentral:rRNA from 1 species
UACGUAGGGCGCAAGCGUUGUCCGGAAUUAUUGGGCGUAAAGAGCUCGUAGGCGGUCUGUUACGUCCGCUGUGAAAACUCGGGGCUUAACCCCGAGCCUGCAGUGGAUACGGGCAGACUAGAGUGUGGUAGGGGAGACUGGAAUUCCUGGUGUAGCGGUGAAAUGCGCAGAUAUCGGGAGGAACACCAAUGGCGAAGGCAGCUCGCCGGGACGGUACUGACGCUGAGACGCGAAAGCGUGGGGAGCAAACAGG